AAAAGAGAGAAAAAAUUAAGAGUGAGAAAGUUUUCAUAAAAUUCUUAGCUUUUCUUAAAUUUCUUAGUUUCCAAAGUUUGUAAGUUACUUAAAAAAAAAAGAGUGUGAAAAGUAUGAAAAGUUUUCUUAGUUCUUCAUUUUCCGGUAGCUGUCAAGUCUUCAGGGGACUCCCGAAAGGGAAACCUCACUUUUUUCUUAAGACAUGUAAGUAGUAGUUACAUAGGUCUUUGUAAUUUUCUCCCAAGUUUGUAAAUUAUAUUUGAAUUAAUUAAGUUUACAUUUUCCUUCACAUAUGUUUUAUUAGUAAGAUCUGGAUCACCGGCGGUUUUCCGACAGUUUUCCUGAUCUUAUAAAAUUUGUAAAUCACUUAUAAAAUUACCCUCAGUAUAUGGUUACUCUCUCAGUGUUUUAGCAAUAGCGAUGGAUUAAUCUGUAAAUUCCUAGGGAUUUGGAAAGUCCGAAGAAGAUUGAAAAAAGGACUGUUGUUAUUCUCCCAGGGUGUGAUUAAAAAAGAUUUUGCUAAAAUACCUAAAAACGAAGAGAAAGAGAUGAACAGGGUAUAAAAAUAAAAAAAAAUCAAAAACCCAAAAAAUACAAAAAUAAUAUAUUUUAGGAGAAAAUACACUUGGACCUUUAUGACUUGGACACUUACACUAAACUAAGGACAACGAAGGAGGGAGUACUGAGUGGAAUUUUACACCAUAUUAAAACAAACUCACGAUAUUUCUUCUUUAAAAUCUUAAUAUUACUCACCUGCUUUAAUAACUUAAAAAAUUAGUUACCUGCUUUAAUAACUUGUUAUAAUAAUUUACUUGCUAUAUUUAUCUGUCUAUUUUAUUAUACUAACUAUAUCCACUUGUC
rnacentral:lncRNA from 1 species